AUCUGGGCCCUAUCUUUGUGCUAGCCAGUAUUUAUAUAAAUGGCAAUAAUUUUACGUAGGCGGAUCUCAACUGCCAUACAGACUUCACAUUGACUCAUUACAGAAGAAGGAAUUUCAUCCACUGAAAAUACUCAGUGGUUUGUCUGAUAUUAGCUGAUAGGGUUUGCAGCUGACUAAGAAGCAUGUUAUUUCUUCUCCCUGGCUGGACAGCCCAAGCAGCAUUGUGUGCCAUGGUGACUGCAGUCAGAGCACAUAUCAGGCUUGUAUUUCCUGUCCAGACAGCUGCUUACUGCAGGCCUGGGACCUCUUUUGGGUAUUAUCUGCCACCUGGCCAGCAGAAGCACCUAGCCAACAUGCAAAAUCAAAUACUGAAAGACCAGUAUAAGAUCUUAAGUCCAGGAAAAUCCCAUUCUGAUGAAAAAGACAUGAGAAUUUUGUGCAUCAGAUUGCAAAAGUAA
rnacentral:lncRNA from 1 species